UACGUAGGGUGCGAGCGUUAAUCGGAAUUACUGGGCGUAAAGCGUGCGCAGGCGGUUUUGUAAGCCAGAUGUGAAAUCCCCGGGCUUAACCUGGGAAUGGCAUUUGGGACUGCAAGGCUCGAGUGCGGCAGAGGAGACUGGAAUUCCUGGUGUAGCAGUGAAAUGCGUAGAUAUCUGGAGGAACACCGGUGGCGAAGGCGGCAUCCUGGACCGGUAUUGACGCUGAGGCGCGAAAGCCAGGGGAGCAAACGGG
rnacentral:rRNA from 1 species